GAUUCAAUUCACUCAGUCGUUGAAUACCUUCAUCCAACAUUUAUAAUCGACCGAUUGAACUCGAUAGAUACGUAUGGAGCCACCUGUUUGAGCUGCACCAAACGCAGCCACUUGCUAUACUACCCGUCUACCCCACCUCCUCAACAACGUGAGCCUGCAGCAUGUGAUGAAUACGUGCAGACCAGUUUUAGAAUUUUUUUUCCUUCACAACUGAGUGCAUGAAAACAUUAAAGACAUUGAAACACAAGUUGGCCAUCAUUCGAGUUAGAGUUAAUGUCGUAAUCGUGUUUCCGGUGUGAAAAGUAGGACAUUUAAUUGUAUCAUGUCAAUUCAGAGACGAAAGAGUUGGUACAAGACUGCGGAAAAACUGGAUACAUGGUUCGGAAGGCCCAAGAAAUCCGGCCGUGGGGGUGGGGUCAGAAGUGGCACUGGCUUCAACACAAUCCCCCGGCCAAAUUCCGGUGAUGAUUUCGAUGAGAUUGAACAGCAACGAGCCAUUAUUGAGAGGAUGGAUGAGGAAACGGUCAAUGAGAAGUUUGAGGAAAUGCUGGCAAAUAUGAAUUUAAAAGAAGAGAAAAAGGAGCCCUUGAGGCAACAGCCAGAUGCAAAGAAAAAAGAAAUGCUAGUUUUACACUAUAAAGGCAGUAUUCAAGAAAAUCGAUCAAAAUUCGAUAGACCAGCUGAUUACAUUCAGUACUUGGCACAGCCUGAUCUGAGUGUCAACAAAAUAUACAAUUGCAUCGAAUCUCUGAGAAUUGCCCUCACUAACAAUCCACUCAGCUGGGUCCAGGAAUUCGGUACAAAAGGAUUGAAGCAAGUGUUGGCAACUCUCAACGAGUGCUACAGAAAUGCUUCUGUUCAUCACGAUAGUGACAAUCGUUACGAACGAAUACAGUACGAAUGCAUAAGAUGUCUAAAGGCGAUAAUGAACAAUACAGGAGGAAUGAAGGAGAUGCUAGACCACCAUGAGGCAUUGACAAUUGUAGCCCGUUCCCUCGAGCCCAGUAAACCCUCGGUGAUGUAUGAAGCUGUAAAAGUACUGGGUGCAGUAUGUCUGAUAGACAGUGACAGUCACAAAAAGGUUCUCGAUGCAAUAACAAUGAACGGAGAAUUCAAAGGGCGUGAAAGAUUUCUACCAAUAGUUCAGGGCCUGAUGAACAAGCAAAAUGAAAAUUUGCGGGUAGUCUGCCUGCAACUGAUAAACUCCAUAAUAUCAUCAGCUGAUGACUUGGAUUUUCGAUUGCACCUUCGAAACGAAGUCAUGAGAAUCGGGCUGGCGGAUAUAUUGGAGGCACUGGAGAGAGACGAGUCUGAAGAUCUGACAACACAUUUAAAAAUAUUCAAUGAUUACAAAGAGGGUGAUUACGAGGAAUUCGUCCAGAGGUUUGAUCAUGUUAGAUUAGAGCUUGACGAUGUUAACGAUUGUUUUGAAGUGGUGAAGAAUAUGGUGAUGGACACGAUGGCGGAGCCCUACUUCCUCUCAAUUCUCCAGCACUUACUCUUCAUCAGGGACGACGCUCUGGUGAGGCCAGCCUACUACAAAUUAAUCGAAGAGUGUGUUUCGCAGAUAGUUCUACAUCGUUCUGGCUGCGAUCCAGAUUUUUCAGCAACAAAACGCUUUCAAAUUGACGUUCAACCCCUAAUCGAUACCCUAGUUGAGAAAUCGAGAGCUGAUGAAGAGAGGAGACUAGUCGAAAUGUCCCAGAAACUUGAAGAAGCGAUAUCAAGUAAGCAGGAGGCUGAGGCGAAGCUUCAGCAUGCUGAGAAUAAAAUCAGAGAGUUGGAGUCUGGUGGCGCGAGGGUAGUUCCUAAAUUAGGGGGACCACCGCCACCACCGAUGCCAGGUAUGCCUGGCCCGCCACCUCCCCCUAUGCCUGGAAUGGGAGGUCCACCACCUCCUCCUAUGCCAGGAAUGGGUGGACCACCACCGCCACCCAUGCCAGGUAUGGGAGGGCCACCACCUCCACCAAUGCCUGGCAUGGGAGGACCUCCCCCACCUCCACUACCGGGAAUGGGACCUCCACCACCUCCUGGGGGUAUGAGAUCACCUCUUGCGGGGGCUGUUCAAGUACUGCCACACGGUCUUAAACCCAAGAAGAAGUGGGAAGUUGAUGGACCACUCAAGAGGGCCAAUUGGAAGGCCAUUCUACCUCAAAAAUUGAGUGAAAAAUCCUUCUGGGUUAAGGUUCAAGAGGAUAAACUCGCUAGUCCAGAUAUUUUGAAUGGUUUAGCUCAGAAGUUCUCGUCAAAACCGUCUAGCCGAAAGGUCGAUGAUGUUGUGGACAAGUCAGCAACGAGUAAAAAGGUUAAAGAUCUCAAGGUACUCGAUGGCAAAGUUGCGCAGAAUAUCCUUAUUCUUCUGGGGGGCACAUUGAAACACAUGUCUUACGAGGAAGUUAAGAGCUGUCUAUUGAGAUGUGAAGGGCCAGUGAUAUCAGACAAUGUUCUCCAGGGUCUCAUUCAGUAUUUACCACCACCUGAUCAGUUGACGAAACUACAGGCCUUCAAGGAUCAGUACGAUGAUCUCACUGAGGCUGAACAAUUCUGUGUGACAGUUUCAUCCAUAAAGAGGCUCAUGCCAAGGUUAAGAUCGUUGAGUUUCAAACUCAGGUAUGAGGAAGUUGUACAGGACAUUAAGCCAGACAUUGUUGCUGGUACAGCUGCCUGCGAAGAAGUCAAGAGUAGUAAAAAAUUCGCGAGAAUUCUCGAGCUCAUUUUAUUACUCGGUAAUUACAUGAAUUCAGGGUCGAAAAAUGGACAGGCGUUCGGCUUUGAAAUUAGCUUUCUCACAAAGUUAACUAGCACUAAAGAUGUCGAGAAUAAACAGACGUUGAUGCAUUAUCUUGUGGACACUAUUGAGAGGAAGUUUCCAGAGUGCUUGAGCUUCGGGGAGGAGUUAUUGCAUGUUGACAGGGCUAGUAGAGUGUCCAUGGAGAAUAUUCAACGCACGUUGAGACAGAUGGAGUCAAAUAUCAAGAAUUUAGAACAGGAUCUGGCGAAUUCGAAAAUACCACAGAGCGAACAGGAUUGUUUUAUUGACACUAUGGCGCCUUUUGCGAAAAAAGCUAGGGAGUCGUUUGAAGUGAUGCAGAGCAUGUACAAAAAUAUGGAGACACUUUACACGGAUAUUUCAGACUUCUUUGCUUUUGAUAAACAAAAAUAUACGAUCGAAGAGUUCUUCGGGGAUAUCAAGAAAUUUAAGGAUGAUUUUGUGCAAGCCCAAAAAGAAAUAAUAAAGCUGCGUGAGGGGGAAGAAAAACAAAGAAGAGCGCGUGAGGCACGUGAGAAAGCUGAAGUCGAGCGUGCAGCUCGUGCAGCACGUAAACGUGCCCUAGUAGAUAUGAACGCCCAUGAGACUCAAGAGGGGGUAAUGGACAGUCUGAUGGAGGCAUUGCAAACGGGUUCGGCAUUCAGCCGUCCUGAUCAACGUAGAAAGCGUCAAACUCGAGCCGCUGGUGCGGAGAGACGUGCACAACUCAAUCGGAGUAGAUCUCGGACUGGGCUCGUUGGUACAGGACUGCUUGGAAGAGAAUUAUCCACGUAAGAUAAUUACUGUGAGGGAUGGGGAGGGACAAUAGCUCAUUCGUAUCAUCAAUAUCUGCCGAUCAAAUGGUCUGCUAUAGAAUAUCUUUCAAAAUUGAAAGAGGCAAAACUAAAGAACUACUAAGUUCAGCGUAACAGUAAAUAAAAGAAGACUAGUGUCUCCGUCCCACGUAUUGAUGCUGUGAUGAUUUUAUACUUCAUAAUGCGCACAUCGAUGUCAAAUGCAACAAACUACAACAUGAGAAGAGAUAAACAUUAGGGAAAAAAAUCAUGUCUUCCUUUCAAAGCAGUGAUUUUUCGUAAGCACGAGUUGCCUUAAAUGUUUCAAUUUGUUCUUGAGUGAAAUUAUUUUUCACAUUGUACAUUGGAGAGGAAUGUAAAUUUUUUUCAUUGUCAGAGAUUUUUGUACUUAGACAUUUCGGCUCGAGGAAAAUUUUUUCCCCUUUAUUUUUUUCCCAGUAAUUGUGCACAACAUAAAAAAUGACGAUGACAAUGUCAAUGCCAGAUUUGAGGUAUAGACACCUUAAACGCUCACAAUUUUGUAAUAAUAUUUGCAGUUUUAUGCGAAGUACUUGAGUGUAUGUACAUAAUUACAAUUUAUAUGCAAAUAAUGAGAAAACAAAAUAGUCAUAAUUGUGCAUUUAAGCGAACGUACGUACAUAAAAUUGUGAAAAUUUUAUUUUUUAUUAAAUUUUAUGAGACAGAGCAAUA